UGGUGUAUAGUUUAAACAAAACAAAUGAUUUCGACUCAUUAGAUUAUGAUAGACCGUAUAUACCAA
rnacentral:tRNA from 1 species